rnacentral:lncRNA from 1 species
ACCUUCUCCCUGUGUCUUCACAUGGUCUUCCCUCUGUGCAUGUCCGUGUCCUAAUUUCCUAUUCUUAUAAGGAUGCCAAUCAUACUGAACUAGGGCAUAUCCUAGUGACCUCAUUUUAACUUAAUCACCCCCUUUAAAGACCCUAUCUCCAAAUACACUCAUGUCUAAGGUAUUGGGAGUUAGGGUUUCAACAUAGGAAUGGUGGGGUUGAGGGAGGGGGCAACAACUCAGCCCAUAGCCCCCAGCAUCUCACAACAUAAUAUUCAAAACACCCAGAAUCCAGUAUCAUCUUAAUGAGGCAGCAUUACUCUGCUAACAAAAUCAAAGACAUUACAAGAGCAGAAAACUGUGGAUCAAUAUCUCAAUUGAACAAGACAAAAAGUAGUCAACGAGAUAUUGGUAAAUUAAAUCCAGCAAUAUAUAGAGAAGAUAAUGCAAAGCAUUCAAAUAUUCAACAUCCAAAAAAAAUCAAUCCUUACAAUUCAUGCCACACUGACAGAACUAUGAAGAAACAAAACAAUCAUAUCAGUAGAUGCAGAAAAAGCAUUUGACAAAAGUAAACAUCCACUCAUGAUUUAAAACUCUUAGUAAACUAGAAAUAGAAGGGAACUUCCUGGAUCUGAUAAAGAACAUCUAGAAAACAAAACCAAACAACCUAUAGCUAACAUUAUACCUAAUGGUGAAAGAGUGAAUGCUUCCCUCUACGAUCUAGGAAUACGAGAGGAUGUCUAACCUCACCACUCCCAUUCAAAAUCACACUGAAAGUUUUUGCCAGUACAAUAAAGCAAGAAAAAGAAAUAAAAGUCAUAUAUAUAUAGAGAUGCCUUAUAUAUAAAGAAGACAUAAAACUAUCUCUAAUUGCAGAAGAAAUGAUUGUCUAUACAGAAAAUCUCAAGGAAUUUCCAAAACAUCAUAUAACUAAUAACUGAAUUUUGAAAGGUCAUAGAACACAAGGUCAAUAUUAAAAGAUCAAUUGUGUUUCCACACUCAAGCAACAAACAAUAUGAACUUUAGCCAAAAAGCACCAUUUACAACAACACCAAAAAAUAAAAUACUUAGCCUAGAUCUAACAAAAUACGUGCAGGAUCUGAAUGCUGAAAACAACAUACUGAUGAAAUAGCAAAGAAGAUCUAAAUAAAUGGAGAGAAAUACUAUGGUCAUGAAAUCAAAGACUCAAUAUUGUUAAGAUGUGAAUUCUCCCCAGAUUGAUGUAAAA